GACGAACGCUGGCGGCGUGCCUAAUACAUGCAAGUCGAACGCAUUUUCUUUCACCGUAGCUUGCUACACCGAAAGAAAAUGAGUGGCGAACGGGUGAGUAACACGUGGGUAACCUGCCCAUCAGCGGGGGAUAACACUUGGAAACAGGUGCUAAUACCGCAUAAUUCCAUUUACCGCAUGGUAGAUGGAUGAAAGGCGCUUUUGCGUCACUGAUGGAUGGACCCGCGGUGCAUUAGCUAGUUGGUGGGGUAACGGCCUACCAAGGCUGCGAUGCAUAGCCGACCUGAGAGGGUGAUCGGCCACACUGGGACUGAGACACGGCCCAGACUCCUACGGGAGGCAGCAGUAGGGAAUCUUCGGCAAUAGACGCAAGUCUGACCGAGCAACGCCGCGUGAGUGAAGAAGGUUUUCGGAUCGUAAAACUCUGUUGUUAGAGAAGAACAAGGAUGAGAGUGGAAAGUUCAUCCCUUGGCGGUAUCUAACCAGAAAGCCACGGCUAACUACGUG
rnacentral:rRNA from 1 species